rnacentral:lncRNA from 13 species
GGAGGGUUCCCGACCCCAGUAUACGGAGGGAUGACCGUGUGUCUCAUGUGGUGGGAACAUGUGUGCCGGCGUGUCCUCAUGGGUGAUGUGCCUAGGUUGUGUGCAUGUGUGCAUUGGUGCGUGUGUGUGUAGACAUGUCAUGUUGCAUGCAUGCCUGUGGAGUGUCCAUCAUACAUGCAUGUGUGUGUCUGUGUGAAGUAUGCAGAUGUGAGUGUGGCUCCUGCCCAGCAUGUGUGUGUGUCUGUGUGUGAAGUGUGUGUAGCUCCUGCCUGGCGUGUGUGUUUGUGUGUGUGUGUGUAAGUGUGCGGGUGUGUGGCUCCUGCCCAGCAUGUGUGUGUGUCUUUGUGUGGCUCCUGUCUGGCAUGUGGGUGUGUGGUGUGUAGCUCCUGCCCGGCAUGUGUGUGUAUGUGUGUGGUGUGUAGGUGUGUGUGUGGGUCCUGCCUGGUAUGUGUGUGUGUGUGGCUCCUGCUGGCAUGUGUGUGUGUGUGUGUGUGGUGUGCAUGUGUGUGUGUGGCUCCUGCCCAGCAUGUGUGGGUGUGUGUGGCUCCUGUCCGGCGUGUGUGUGUGUGGGUGUAAGUCUGUGUGACUCCUGCUGGCAUGUGUCUGUGUGUGAAGUGUGUGUAGCUCCUGGCCGGUGUGUGUGUGUGUGUGUGUGUGUGAAGUGUGCAGAUGUGUGUGGCUCCUGCCCCCUCAGGCACCUGCUGGGAGUCCUCUUUUCUGUCUGGUCUGGUUACGUGCCCGCUCAGGUGGCAUUUCUGGCCCUCCCUGACCCUGGGUCUUCUUGUCCUUCCGUCUGAGGCCCCCACCAUCGUCCUGGCUGUGGCCACUCGGGACUGCUGGGCCCCACCUGCCUGGGCCUCCUCUUCCCUCUGCUGGACGCUCCUCUGAACAUGCCAAGAAUAAGGGUUCUGUGCUGGGGCUGGUCUGGCGCUGGGGAGAAAGAGCCAGGGGCAGGGCAUGGCAGUGGGAGCUGUCACAAGCAGCAGGGUCCACCCGCCCCUGAGUCCUGGUGCCUGCCGAGCACUGACCCCCUCCAGCCCCACCCAAGCCCCCCGUCACCCCCAGCCCUGCCAUCCCUGUGUCCUCUGCACCCCCAGCCCCUCAUGUCACCUCCUGCCCUCCCCAUGUAAAUCCUGCACUCCUGUCACACGGAGGGGAACAGCAGGGACAUGGGUGUGUGGCCAGGACCCCCAGAUGAAAAGGAAGGCAGGCGGCACCCUUGGAGCAGUGUUCAGCCAGGGCCUCGGAUUCCCCUGAAAGGAGGCAGGGAGGAGAAGCAAGACUCGGUCCACAGGCUUCUCAGCAGCCCUGGGCUGAAGGUCAGCAAGGAGAGGCCUGCGGAUGCUGACGUUUCUUCUCCCACACCUGUCCUGCUCUCACUGUGCAGUCACACACACAACCCAUCAGGUGUCACGUCGUGAAACAAAUAUCUGCGGCGUGGACACACCCUGCUAACUUAGGAGCUCUUUAGCAGCAAGAAAAUCCUAUUUAUAUGUAAACCCUCAGCACCCGGGCCAGGGUCUGCGUCAGUGUUAGUCAAGGCUGUAUGGAGGUGCCCGGGCAGAUACUUAACAGACGAUGCCCCCCCAAGCUCCUCUUGCAAACCGCAAGCGUUGCGCCCCAGUUCUAAGGCGAGCAGUGGUGUUUGUCUUUCCCGAGUCUCUGUUGGAAAUCCCUCCCCUGUUCUUUAGUCACUGCAGUUAAUUCAAAAAUGACUCAGAUGUGGAAAUUCAGCUUGGCAUCCUGGCUUGGGAGCAGUGGUUCUAAUAUACUUACCUGUUGAAACCUAUGGAAAUGCAGUAUCUCUCCCCAAAUGUUCUGUUUGGAAGGUAAUGAUGGAGGCGCAGGUGUUCGGAACAGAGUGUCAUUAAGCGCCCCCAGCCCACUGGAGCCGGGGCACAGGGAGCAGCUCCGACCUGUCCCUUCUCAUCACGUCAGUUACCUGCCGUUAGCGGGAGGGUGAAUCAGUGGAUGCGGGUGACGGGCCCGGCGGGAACUGCAGACACACUCAGAUCUUGGACGUGAACACGGUCUUUUGGCAACACUUCUGGAGAAUUUGUUUCAUGGAUUUGCGAAAUCCUCCUCAACGUUUCUCCGCGUGGAUGGCUGCCAGGCUGAGGGGAGAGGGCUCUGACCAGCAUCUGCCGAUCUGAGCUUCCAACAGAGAUAAGUGGGGGACGCUGCUUCCUCAGCUGGGCCUUGUUAGGCUUCUGUGGGGGCUGCAACUAUCCUUCAAAAACGAGGCUCCUCGAGGCACCUAAGGAAAAACUGCCCCAGCAGGGGUGGGGGCGGCUUCUGAGGCAGGACAUGCUCUGCUCGGGGGAAAGGUCUCGGGGAACUCUGAGGAUUAAACAAACCCCCGUCAGACGUGAGCAUGGGUUCCAGUCCCCACUCCAUCCUCCAGCAUCUUCUCCACAGAGAAAGGAAGGGAAAGGAGGAGGAAUCAAUAAUUCUGAAAUAAAUUCUUUAUGGAAAACA